CCCUGAACCUCCUGAGUAACAGCUGGGGCUACAGGCAGGUGUUUUUUAAAAAUGGAAUUCUUAAUACAUUAAAAAAAUGAAAUCCCUUUAAAAAAGCACUAGAGGAAAUUCUGUGUUUAAAGAUUUACUUAUUUGGCAAUGCAAACAGCUGUUUAUUUCCUAACAUAACUUUUGCAAAUCUGAAUUUUUAUAAAAAUAUUUUUAAAUUAAAAAUUUUAAAUUAUACUAAGUUUUACUUUUUAAGUAAUUUUGAGUAGGUAAUAUUUUUAUAAAGACAUUUGUAUGGUUCGAAGAUAAGAAAAUAUAUGAAAGGUGUUCAAGAAGAGUUUUGGCCCCAAUUCUGUCUACUGUAUACCCAGUCCUCCCCACUUCUACAUACAUAUUUCAGAUAGGUAUUUCUCGAAAGAAAGAACUUAUGCUGUGAAACUUAUAUGUCAACUUAGGUCUCAUUUUAAGUGAUUCUGUAAAAUGGCUGGGAGAUACUGGUGAAAUUCUAGAAUGGAAAUAACUUUGUAAGAUUUUGAGCUGAGUACUUGUAAAUAGUAGAAAUGGACUUACUAAUAAAUAAAGGAAUUUUAUUUUAUAACUUU